rnacentral:lncRNA from 1 species
UAGCAUUUCAGUUCCUCCUGCAAAUGUGGAUGUGAAACCAUAUGGGGAAACCGUGCUCUCAGGUGGGCAGGAAAUAUUCCACACUCCUGUUAGGAGAAUAAUGGAUGUAUCCCCAGUUGGGAAGGAUGCAGUGGGCUGAGGAAAAAGCCAUUGACAACUUCUUUGCUGAACACAUCCUCAUAGUUCUGUUUCUAUGGCAAUCUUCAUGUGAAAUGUGUUGGUAGGAAAACAUUAGUUACUAUAGAAACAACUUUCCUGUAAGUGAAAGUUUACUUUGUAACACAUGAUGCCUAAUAUUAGGUUUUUUUAAGUUAAACCACCCACACGUGUGUUGCAAUCAAUAAACAGAUCAUUGUACUCAAGCCUGCAUAGCUGGAAAUGUACAGAACUUUCAUGUCUUCCACCAAAACCAGCUGCUUGGCUUUGGCCAGAACCAGAUGGACUUGUGCAGGUGAAUGGUGCUGCCUGUUCAGGUGCCUCAGCCCUUCAGGAUCGCAUUGAGAACCAAGGCAGGUUUUCCUGGAGCUGGAUCGCUCCAUCACCCCAUGUGCACAGCAAUUCCAUCCCUCACGGGAAGCGCUGGUGCUGCAGCACAGAACAAAUGCCGCCUAUGAAAUGGGGAGCAAACCAAGUUCAGUCUUUCCCAGCAGAAACGUUUCUCUCAACCCUUUCCACCCUGAUGACUGGUAACUGGUAGGACGAUGAAUUGAGGCAUACUGUGCAAAUAGAGCCCAGAUCUGUCGUGAGUAGAGCCUUUUCAAACUAUCUGAAGGAUUUGGGGGCUUUGCUGGUGCUGCUUACGCUCGGAUUUCUGAGACACUCUGAGGCAUAAAGACAUCUUUGUCAAAAUCCAUCGCUUCUUCCUUUUAUUCAAAGAAGGAGAAAUAAAUCUGACUCAGAUGUUGUUGAUGAGUUGUAU